rnacentral:lncRNA from 1 species
AAUAAGAAAGAAUGGUCAGGGGCCUACCGGGUGUGCCCCGGCAGAGGCCCUCCGACGCUCAAGUCAGAUUUUAUGGCUCAGAGUAGUAUAUUUAGGCAAGGGUUACAGUAAGAAUAAAAAUGGUGUCCAGGAAGGAGAAGGAAGAAGAAGAGAGUCCCCCUUUUCUGCGUGGCCUUUACCGUGAUAUAUAUAUCUGUCUCUCUGCCACAAUACUAGCUGUCUUCUGUCGCCUAGCUCCGUAUGUACGGAUGUGUCAGGUGCCUGCUCCAUGCGUAACGGCCAUUAAUUCUCCUCUGAUACGUAUGAUUCUCCUCUGAUACGCAUGCGGAAGGACUUACCAGCGGGGCAUCUUGGUCAUUUUCCCUUUUCCGGGCUGGGUUGAAUGGUAGGGCUGAAGUUGAGCCUGGUGAGGGCUUGAUUACUGGGCCGAGAGGUUUGGGCCGGUUUGAUUGAGGAGUCUAGGCGGAGUUCCGGCCCUAUGACUGAGCGGGCUGGACCUGGCUCUCGAGGGGAAUAUUGAAGCCUUCGGAUCAUGGACUGUUUUCAUGGGCCUGGCCUUUAUACCGGGGUGAAGAAAUCCAGCGAUCAUCACCAGUUAUGCCAAAUUUUGUUUUUAUAUUAGCAUAUAUGUAUAUAUAUAUAUAUAUAUAGAGAGAGAGAGAGAGAGAGAGAGAGAGGAAGAGCUUGGUUUAACCUUUCCUUUAUAAAAAUGCUUUAUAUGACUAAGCAGCAGAAUUUUCUUCCCAGUGAAGUAUUUGGGUUUGAAUGAAUCAUAAAAAAAAACUUGGGUUAUACUUCAACUCUGUAUUCUCAGAAGCCUGUUAAAAUGUCUGCAAGUUUUAAUUCUCCAUUUAUUUAGCUAGAUAUCUAGCUAAUGACAUCUGUAAUUUUUGUAAAAAGAAUGAAUGUUUUAAACAAUUUUUAAAAAAUUUAAUUGGUGAAAGUGCUAAUAAUGAUAAUUCAAGAAUUAAAUAGCUAUUUGUUGGAAAUUUGGCUGAUAAAAUAUGUGAAAGCAUACUAAGCAAAUGGAUUGAAGGUUAACAAAAUCAAAAUUUAGGGCACUUUCCAAGAGAAUGGAUGAUAUGCGAGUCAAAACUGACGAAAUUGUUGUUCAACUAUAUUUGGAAGGCUUCAGAGUUAG